GGGGAUUGGGGAUUGGGUCGGCAACGCGCUUGCGAUGCUUCUGGUUUUGCAGGUGUCUAUAAGCUACGGUAAUCGCUUACCAUCAGGUGAGCCGUACGCUUGUUUGCCGACCUAGUGACAUAAAAAAAAAUUGUAAAGUAGUUUUAUUUUAAUUUUUAUCGAUAAAAAAAUCAUAAUAAAAAAUGUAUACCCGAAUAAUUAUUUUCUUUAUACCUCGAAUAGAACUUGAAAU
rnacentral:misc_RNA from 1 species